CGGUAAGCAGAGUAAACCCUAACUUAGCUAAGAGAAUCCAGCCCAUUAUUUCAUAUUAAGUCUCAUCGGUACACUCAAUGCUAACUGCAAGGUGCUUAUAACAAUACAUAAGAAAAAGCUCUAAUGGAGGCCUCCAGUUGCCGGAUAAAGAGGUGUGCAUAUUUAUGUUUGAUUUUAUUUUUCAUGUUUUACAAAUUAAAUAUAGGAAAUAAGUAAACAUAAUAUUAACCCCCUAAGGACACAUGACAUGUGUGACGAGUCAUGAUUCCCUUUUAUUCCAGAAGUUUG